CCGUAUAAUAAUGAAGAAACAGUAGCCAAGAAGAAAUGUAAUUAUAAAGAGGGACGCGGGAUAACUUUCGCUAAAUAGCCUAUCAUUGGAGUCAUGCAGUUGUCUUUUAAAAGUAUUUUAAAGUUAUCAGUAUGUAUACUUUACGGGCCACUCAAUCGUUCAUGGGUCCUCCUUCCGUCCUUCUGGGUGUCUCUGGCUGCAAACGAGUAAAACAGAUGGUAAAUAAGCAUUGUUAUCUACAAAAUAAGUUUUACUUCCUUUUCUUCCCUGUAAGUUAGAACCAGGAACAGGCAUCAGUAUGUGGGCGUGAAACUAGCCAUGAAAAACCCGUGGGCUGGCAGAAAUAAUCAGACGCAUCCUUCAUUGUUUACAUUCACUGCAUCGUAGGUCUGUUGUCGGAGUUCUCAAAGCCAUAUUGCUUUCUGUUUGUCUUUAAUAUUGUGCGGUAUAAAUCGCAAUGCCUAAAGAAAUUUCAUUUAAAACGGGAAUGGAUGUGUUCAGCCGUAUUGUGGUUCAGUUUUGUUUAACUUGGUAACUGCGUCGUCUUGAAGUGGGAA